CUAUUAUUGAGCAAUGGUUACUAUAUCCCAACAGUCGAGUUGGCUGUUUUUAUCUGAUAUGGCUUUCACUGCUAUGCAUGUGAAAAAUAGGAGUUUAUUUGGUAUUGCUAUAGUUAAAACAUUGUAAUAAAUCAAGGUUUUUAAUAAAAAGGGAACUGUCUCGUACCAGGAUUCUUUAACAUUAUAUCUACUUAUCCUUUACAUAUUACAAAUAUGUUCUUGUAUGAUCUGAAAAAAAUAAUAAUUUGGAAAUCUACAUUGCUGUAUUUAUUUCAGUUCUGG